UUGAAACACCAGUUCCUGUAUGAUCACUGAAGUUAAGCAUCAUUGAGGCUGGUCAGUAUCUAGAUUGGUGACUGUUUGGGAAUACCAAGUGCUGUAAG